rnacentral:rRNA from 1 species
UACGUAGGGGGCAAGCGUUGUCCGGAAUCAUUGGGCGUUAAGCGCGCGUAGGCGGCCCGGUAAGUCCGCUGUGAAAGUCGGGGGCUCAACCCUCGGAUGCCGGUGGAUACUGUCGGGCUUGAGUGCGGAAGAGGCGAGUGGAAUUCCUGGUGUAGCGGUGAAAUGCGCAGAUAUCAGGAGGAACACCAAUUGCGAAGGCAGCUCGCUGGGACGUUACUGACGCUGAUGCGCGAAAGCGUGGGGAGCAAACAGG